rnacentral:rRNA from 1 species
CCUGUCCCAGUUCGGACUGGAGUCUGNAACCCGACUCCACGAAGUUGGAUUCGCUAGUAAUCGCGCAUCAGCCAUGGCGCGGUGAAUACGUUCCCGGGCCUUGUACACACCGCCCGUCAAGCCAUGGGAGCCGGGGGCGCCUGAAGUCCGGGACCGCGAGGACCGGCCUAGGGCGAAACUGGUAACUGGGGCUAAGUCGUAACAAGGUAGC